rnacentral:rRNA from 1 species
UAGUCCACGCCCUAAACGAUGCUUACUAGUUGUUGGCGAUAUACAGUCAGCGACAAAGAGAAAUCAUUAAGUAAGCCACCUGGGGAGUACGUUCGCAAGAAUGAAACUCAAAGGAAUUGACGGGGGUCCGCACAAGCGGGGGAGCAUGUGGUUUAAUUCGAUGAUACGCGAGGAACCUUACCUGGGCUAGAAUGCUUUUGGACAGAUGCCGAAAGGUGUUUUUCUCUUCGGAGACUGAUUGCAAGGUGCUGCAUGGUUGUCGUCAGCUCGUGCCGUGAGGUGUUGGGUUAAGUCCCGCAACGAGCGCAACCCCUAUCCUUAGUUGCCAGCGAGUAAUGUCGGGGACUCUAGGGAAACUGCCUACGCAAGUAGUGAGGAAGGCGGGGAUGACGUCAAAUCAUCAUGGCCCUUACGCCCAGGGCUACACACAUGCUACAAUGGUUGAUACAGAGGGUAGCGACAUAGCGAUAUGAAGCCAAUCUCAAAAAGUCAAAUCUCAGUUC